GGGUUGUGAGGUUAAGCGACUAAGCGUACACGGUGGAUGCCCUGGCAGUCAGAGGCGAUGAAGGACGUGCUAAUCUGCGAAAAGCGUCGGUAAGGUGAUAUGAACCGUUAUAACCGGCGAUGUCCGAAUGGGGAAACCCAGUGUGAUUCGUCACACUAUCGUUAACUGAAUACAUAGGUUAACGAGGCGAACCGGGGGAACUGAAACAUCUAAGUACCCCGAGGAAAAGAAAUCAACCGAGAUUCCCCCAGUAGCGGCGAGCGAACGGGGAGCAGCCCAGAGUCUGAAUCAGCUUGUGUGUUAGUGGAACGGUCUGGAAAGUCCGACGGUACAGGGUGAUAGUCCCGUACACCAAAAUGCACAGGCUGUGAACUCGAAGAGUAGGGCGGGACACGUGGUAUCCUGUCUGAAUAUGGGGGGACCAUCCUCCAAGGCUAAAUACUCCUGACUGACCGAUAGUGAACCAGUACCGUGAGGGAAAGGCGAAAAGAACCCCGGCGAGGGGAGUGAAAAAGAACCUGAAACCGUGUACGUACAAGCAGUGGGAGCACCUUCGGGUGUGACUGCGUACCUUUUGUAUAAUGGGUCAGCGACUUAUAUUCUGUAGCAAGGUUAACCGUAUAGGGGAGCCGCAGGGAAACCGAGUCUUAACUGGGCGUUAAGUUGCAGGGUAUAGACCCGAAACCCGGUGAUCUAGCCAUGGGCAGGUUGAAGGUUGGGUAACACUAACUGGAGGACCGAACCGACUAAUGUUGAAAAAUUAGCGGAUGACUUGUGGCUGGGGGUGAAAGGCCAAUCAAACCGGGAGAUAGCUGGUUCUCCCCGAAAGCUAUUUAGGUAGCGCCUCGUGAACUCAUCUUCGGGGGUAGAGCACUGUUUCGGCUAGGGGGUCAUCCCGACUUACCAACCCGAUGCAAACUACGAAUACCGAAGAAUGUUAUCACGGGAGACACACGGCGGGUGCUAACGUCCGUCGUGAAGAGGGAAACAACCCAGACCGCCAGCUAAGGUCCCAAAGUCAUGGUUAAGUGGGAAACGAUGUGGGAAGGCACAGACAGCCAGGAUGUUGGCUUAGAAGCAGCCAUCAUUUAAAGAAAGCGUAAUAGCUCACUGGUCGAGUCGGCCUGCGCGGAAGAUGUAACGGGGCUAAACCAUGCACCGAAGCUGCGGCAGCGACACUAUGUGUUGUUGGGUAGGGGAGCGUUCUGUAAGCCUGCGAAGGUGUGCUGUGAGGCAUGCUGGAGGUAUCAGAAGUGCGAAUGCUGACAUAAGUAACGAUAAAGCGGGUGAAAAGCCCGCUCGCCGGAAGACCAAGGGUUCCUGUCCAACGUUAAUCGGGGCAGGGUGAGUCGACCCCUAAGGCGAGGCCGAAAGGCGUAGUCGAUGGGAAACAGGUUAAUAUUCCUGUACUUGGUGUUACUGCGAAGGGGGGACGGAGAAGGCUAUGUUAGCCGGGCGACGGUUGUCCCGGUUUAAGCAUGUAGGCUGAUUGUCCAGGCAAAUCCGGAUAAUCAAGGCUGAGGUGUGAUGACGAGGCACUACGGUGCUGAAGUAACAAAUGCCCUGCUUCCAGGAAAAGCCUCUAAGCAUCAGGUAACAUUAAAUCGUACCCCAAACCGACACAGGUGGUCAGGUAGAGAAUACCAAGGCGCUUGAGAGAACUCGGGUGAAGGAACUAGGCAAAAUGGUGCCGUAACUUCGGGAGAAGGCACGCUGGUGUGUAGGUGAAGUCCCUGCGGAUGGAGCUGAGACCAGUCGAAGAUACCAGCUGGCUGCAACUGUUUAUUAAAAACACAGCACUGUGCAAACACGAAAGUGGACGUAUACGGUGUGACGCCUGCCCGGUGCCGGAAGGUUAAUUGAUGGGGUUAUCCGUAAGGAGAAGCUCUUGAUCGAAGCCCCGGUAAACGGCGGCCGUAACUAUAACGGUCCUAAGGUAGCGAAAUUCCUUGUCGGGUAAGUUCCGACCUGCACGAAUGGCGUAAUGAUGGCCAGGCUGUCUCCACCCGAGACUCAGUGAAAUUGAACUCGCUGUGAAGAUGCAGUGUACCCGCGGCAAGACGGAAAGACCCCGUGAACCUUUACUAUAGCUUGACACUGAACAUUGAGCCUUGAUGUGUAGGAUAGGUGGGAGGCUUUGAAGCGUGGACGCCAGUCUGCGUGGAGCCAACCUUGAAAUACCACCCUUUAAUGUUUGAUGUUCUAACGUUGGCCCCUUACCGGGGUUGCGGACAGUGUCUGGUGGGUAGUUUGACUGGGGCGGUCUCCUCCCAAAGCGUAACGGAGGAGCACGAAGGUUAGCUAAUCCUGGUCGGACAUCAGGAGGUUAGUGCAAUGGCAUAAGCUAGCUUGACUGCGAGCGUGACGGCGCGAGCAGGUGCGAAAGCAGGUCAUAGUGAUCCGGUGGUUCUGAAUGGAAGGGCCAUCGCUCAACGGAUAAAAGGUACUCCGGGGAUAACAGGCUGAUACCGCCCAAGAGUUCAUAUCGACGGCGGUGUUUGGCACCUCGAUGUCGGCUCAUCACAUCCUGGGGCUGAAGUAGGUCCCAAGGGUAUGGCUGUUCGCCAUUUAAAGUGGUACGCGAGCUGGGUUUAGAACGUCGUGAGACAGUUCGGUCCCUAUCUGCCGUGGGCGCUGGAGAAUUGAGGGGGGCUGCUCCUAGUACGAGAGGACCGGAGUGGACGCAUCACUGGUGUUCGGGUUGUCAUGCCAAUGGCACUGCCCGGUAGCUAAAUGCGGAAGAGAUAAGUGCUGAAAGCAUCUAAGCACGAAACUUGCCCCGAGAUGAGUUCUCCCUGAGACUUUAAGUCUCCUGAAGGAACGUUAAAGACGAUGACGUUGAUAGGCCGGGUGUGUAAGCGCAGCGAUGCGUUGAGCUAACCGGUACUAAUGAACCGUGAGGCUUAACCUUACAACGCCGAAG
rnacentral:rRNA from 1 species